AACGAACGCUGGCGGCAUGCCUAACACAUGCAAGUCGAACGAGACCUUCGGGUCUAGUGGCGCACGGGUGCGUAACGCGUGGGAACCUGCCCUUAGGUUCGGAAUAACUCCCCGAAAGGGGUGCUAAUACCGGAUAAUGUCUUCGGACCAAAGAUUUAUCGCCUUUGGAUGGGCCCGCGUUGGAUUAGCUAGUUGUUAGGGUAAAAGCCUACCAAGGCGACGAUCCAUAGCUGGUCUGAGAGGAUGAUCAGCCACACUGGGACUGAGACACGGCCCAGACUCCUACGGGAGGCAGCAGUGGGGAAUAUUGGACAAUGGGCGAAAGCCUGAUCCAGCAAUGCCGCGUGAGUGAUGAAGGCCUUAGGGUUGUAAAGCUCUUUUACCCGGGAUGAUAAUGACAGUACCGGGAGAAUAAGCUCCGACUAACUCCGUG
rnacentral:rRNA from 1 species